AUUGAACGCUGGCGGCAUGCUUUACACAUGCAAGUCGAACGGUAACAGGGAGCUUGCUCCGCUGACGAGUGGCGAACGGGUGAGUAAUGUAUCGGAACGUACCCAAGAGUGGGGGAUAACGUAGCGAAAGUUACGCUAAUACCGCAUACGAUCUAUGGAUGAAAGUGGGGGACCUUCGGGCCUCAUGCUCCUGGAGCGGCCGAUAUCUGAUUAGCUAGUUGGUGAGGUAAAGGCUCACCAAGGCGACGAUCAGUAGCUGGUCUGAGAGGACGACCAGCCACACUGGGACUGAGACACGGCCCAGACUCCUACGGGAGGCAGCAGUGGGGAAUUUUGGACAAUGGGGGCAACCCUGAUCCAGCAAUGCCGCGUGAGUGAAGAAGGCCUUCGGGUUGUAAAGCUCUUUUGUCAGGGAAGAAACGGUUCAGGCUAAUAUCCUGGGCUAAUGACGGUACCUGAAGAAUAAGCACCGGCUACUACGUGCCAGCAGCCGCAGUAA
rnacentral:rRNA from 1 species